rnacentral:rRNA from 1 species
AGGAAUAUUGGUCAAUGGGCGCGAGCCUGAACCAGCCAAGUAGCGUGAAGGAUGAAGGUCCUACGGAUUGUAAACUUCUUUUAUAAGGGAAUAAAGUCACCCACGUGUGGGUGUUUGUAUGUACUUUAUGAAUAAGCAUCGGCUAACUCCGUGCCAGCAGCCGCGGUAAUACGGAGGAUGCGAGCGUUAUCCGGAUUUAUUGGGUUUAAAGGGAGCGUAGACGGGUCGUUAAGUCAGCUGUGAAAGUUUGAGGCUCAACCUUAAAAUUGCAGUUGAUACUGGCGUCCUUGAGUACGGUUGAGGCAGGCGGAAUUCGUGGUGUAGCGGUGAAAUGCUUAGAUAUCACGAAGAACCCCGAUUGCGAAGGCAGCCUGCUAAACCGCCACUGACGUUGAGGCUCGAAAGUGUGGGUAUCAAACAGGAUUAGAUACCCUGGUAGUCCACACGGUAAACGAUGGAUACUCGCUGUUGGCGAUAGACUGUCAGCGGCUUAGCGAAAGCGUUAAGUAUCCCACCUGGGGAGUACGCCGGCAACGGUGAAACUCAAAGGAAUUGACGGGGGCCCGCACAAGCGGAGGAACAUGUGGUUUAAUUCGAUGAUACGCGAGGAACCUUACCCGGGCUUGAAUUGCAGACGAAUUGCUUGGAAACAGGCAAGCCGCAAGGCGUCUGUGAAGGUGCUGCAUGGUUGUCGUCAGCUCGUGCCGUGAGGUGUCGGCUUAAGUGCCAUAACGAGCGCAACCCUCGUGUCCAGUUACUAGCAGGUUAUGCUGAGGACUCUGGACAGACUGCCAUCGUAAGAUGUGAGGAAGGUGGGGAUGACGUCAAAUCAGCACGGCCCUUACGUCCGGGGCUACACACGUGUUACAAUGGGGGGUACAGCAGGCAGCUACCGGGCGACCGGAUGCCAAUCCCGAAAGCCUCUCUCAGUUCGGACUGGAGUCUGCAACCCGACUCCACGAAGCUGGAUUCGCUAGUAAUCGCGCAUCAGCCACGGCGCGGUGAAUACGUUCCCG